rnacentral:lncRNA from 1 species
UUCGUUUUUAUUUUUAUUAUUUGAUAUUUUUUAUUUGUAUGUUAAUGAGAAUUUUAUUUUUCAAAAAAAAGAUAACUCUAAUAAUAAUUUGUCAGUUGUAUUUUUCAAGACAAUUAAUGCAUGUACUUCUUAUGCAUUUUGAAAGAGUGAUAGUUUGGUCACUUUUUUAAAAAAGCGGACCGAAUCUGUAAAAACGAAAAAUGUGGCCCGGUUUUGCAAAAACCCAAAACUAGUGGAUUUUUUAUGCAAAUUGG